GCCAGCGUAGCUCAGUGGCAGAGCACUCCCAUGGUAAGGGAAAGGUCGGAGGUUCGAUCCCUCUCGCUGGCUCCA
rnacentral:tRNA from 1 species